rnacentral:rRNA from 1 species
GUGGGGAAUCUUCCGCAAUGGACGAAAGUCUGACGGAGCAACGCCGCGUGAGUGAAGAAGGUUUUCGGAUCGUAAAGCUCUUUCGUUAGGGACGAACGUGCUCUUUGUGAAUAAUGAGGAGUAAUGACGGUACCUAAAUAAGAAGCCACGGCUAACUACGUGCCAGCAGCCGCGGUAAUACGUAGGUGGCAAGCGUUGUCCGGAAUUAUUGGGCGUAAAGCGCGCGAAGGCGGGAUAUCAAGUCUGUCUUAAAAGUGCGAUGCUCAACCUCGUGAGGGGACAGAAACUGGUAUUCUUGAGGGUCGGAGAGGAAAGUGGAAUUCCAAGUGUAGCGGUGAAAUGCGUAGAGAUUUGGAAGAACACCAGUGGCGAAGGCGACUUUCUGGACGAUGUCUGACGCUGAGGCGCGAAAGCUAGGGGAGCGAACGGGAUUAGAUACCCGUUGUAGUCC